rnacentral:lncRNA from 1 species
AAAAAAAUAAUGCUUUGCAUCAAGUUUCCCCUUGGAACAUGUACUAAAUGGCCUAUCGCUAUUAUUUAUUAUAUCUUUAGUUUUGAUACAAUUGAGGUUUGAAAAAUUCGUACAAAAAUGGCUACAGAAGGGUACAUAAACCUUAAUGGUGGUAUUUGUUUUUCAAGGGCAAAUAAUGUUGACAUUUGUUUUUCAAGGGCAAAUAAUGGUGACAUUUAUUGUUCAAGGGCAAAUAGUGGUGACAUUUGUUUUUCAAGAGCAAAUAGUGGUGACAUUUGUUAUUCAAGGGCAUAUAAUGUUGACAUUUGUUUUUCAAGGGCAAAUAAUGUUGACAUUUAUUUUUAAAGGGCAAAUAAUGUUGACAUUUGUUUUUCAAGGGCAAAUAAUGUUGACAAUUAUUUUUAAAGUGCAAAUAGUGGUGACAUUUGUUUUUCAAGGGCAAAUAAUGGUGACAUUUGUUUUUUCAAGGGCAAAUAAUGUUGACAUUUAUUUUUAAAGGGCAAAUAGUGGUGACAUUUGUUUUUCAAGGGCAAAUAAUGGUGACAUUUUUUUUUUCAAGGGCAAAUAAUGUUGACAUUUAUUUUAAAGGGCAAAUAGUGGUGACAUUUGUUUUUCAAGGGCAAAUAAUGGUGACAUUUGUUUUUCAAGGGCAAAUAAUGGUGACAUUUAUUUUUCUAC